rnacentral:rRNA from 1 species
UACGUAGGGCGCAAGCGUUAUCCGGAAUUAUUGGGCGUAAAGAGCUCGUAGGCGGUUUGUCGCGUCUGCCGUGAAAACCCGCGGCUCAACUGCGGGCUUGCAGCCGAUACGGGCAGGCUAGAGUUCGGUAGGGGAGACUGGAAUUCCUGGUGUAGCGGUGAAAUGCGCAGAUAUCAGGAGGAACACCGGUGGCGAAGGCGGGACUCUGGGCCGAUACUGACGCUGAGGAGCGAAAGCGUGGGGAGCAAACAGG